rnacentral:rRNA from 2 species
GGGUUGUGAGGUUAAGCGACUAAGCGUACACGGUGGAUGCCCUGGCAGUCAGAGGCGAUGAAGGACGUGCUAAUCUGCGAUAAGCGCCGGUAAGGUGAUAUGAACCGUUAUAACCGGCGAUUUCCGAAUGGGGAAACCCAGUGUGAUUCGUCACACUAUCAUUAACUGAAUCCAUAGGUUAAUGAGGCGAACCGGGGGAACUGAAACAUCUAAGUACCCCGAGGAAAAGAAAUCAACCGAGAUUCCCCCAGUAGCGGCGAGCGAACGGGGAGGAGCCCAGAGCCUGAAUCAGCAUGUGUGUUAGUGGAAGCGUCUGGAAAGGCGCGCGAUACAGGGUGACAGCCCCGUACACAAAAGCGCAUGUGCUGUGAGCUCGAUGAGUAGGGCGGGACACGUGGUAUCCUGUCUGAAUAUGGGGGGACCAUCCUCCAAGGCUAAAUACUCCUGACUGACCGAUAGUGAACCAGUACCGUGAGGGAAAGGCGAAAAGAACCCCGGCGAGGGGAGUGAAAAAGAACCUGAAACCGUGUACGUACAAGCAGUGGGAGCACCCUUCGGGGUGUGACUGCGUACCUUUUGUAUAAUGGGUCAGCGACUUAUAUUCUGUAGCAAGGUUAACCGUAUAGGGGAGCCGGAGGGAAACCGAGUCUUAAUUGGGCGUUAAGUUGCAGGGUAUAGACCCGAAACCCGGUGAUCUAGCCAUGGGCAGGUUGAAGGUUGGGUAACACUAACUGGAGGACCGAACCGACUAAUGUUGAAAAAUUAGCGGAUGACCUGUGGCUGGGGGUGAAAGGCCAAUCAAACCGGGAGAUAGCUGGUUCUCCCCGAAAGCUAUUUAGGUAGCGCCUCGUGAAUUCAUCUCCGGGGGUAGAGCACUGUUUCGGCUAGGGGGCCAUCCCGGCUUACCAACCCGAUGCAAACUGCGAAUACCGGAGAAUGUUAUCACGGGAGACACACGGCGGGUGCUAACGUCCGUCGUGAAGAGGGAAACAACCCAGACCGCCAGCUAAGGUCCCAAAGUCAUGGUUAAGUGGGAAACGAUGUGGGAAGGCCCAGACAGCCAGGAUGUUGGCUUAGAAGCAGCCAUCAUUUAAAGAAAGCGUAAUAGCUCACUGGUCGAGUCGGCCUGCGCGGAAGAUGUAACGGGGCUAAACCAUGCACCGAAGCUGCGGCAGCGAACGUAUCACCCAAGACAACUUUACGGAGUUGACGAUUGACGGAGCGAAGCGACGUCAAAGCGUUCAUUAAAGUCGAGUUGGCUUAGGGAUACGUUCGUUGGGUAGGGGAGCGUUCUGUAAGCCUGUGAAGGUGUGUCGUGAGGCAUGCUGGAGGUAUCAGAAGUGCGAAUGCUGACAUAAGUAACGAUAAAGCGGGUGAAAAGCCCGCUCGCCGGAAGACCAAGGGUUCCUGUCCAACGUUAAUCGGGGCAGGGUGAGUCGACCCCUAAGGCGAGGCCGAAAGGCGUAGUCGAUGGGAAACGGGUUAAUAUUCCCGUACUUGGUGUUACUGCGAAGGGGGACGGAGAAGGCUAUGUUGGCCGGGCGACGGUUGUCCCGGUUUAAGCGUGUAGGUGUGUGUUCCAGGUAAAUCCGGUUCACUUUAACACUGAGGCGUGACGACGAGGCACUACGGUGCUGAAGCAACAAAUGCCCUGCUUCCAGGAAAAGCCUCUAAGCAUCAGGUAACACGAAAUCGUACCCCAAACCGACACAGGUGGUCAGGUAGAGAAUACCAAGGCGCUUGAGAGAACUCGGGUGAAGGAACUAGGCAAAAUGGUGCCGUAACUUCGGGAGAAGGCACGCUGACACGUAGGUGAAGUGAUUUACUCAUGGAGCUGAAGUCAGUCGAAGAUACCAGCUGGCUGCAACUGUUUAUUAAAAACACAGCACUGUGCAAACACGAAAGUGGACGUAUACGGUGUGACGCCUGCCCGGUGCCGGAAGGUUAAUUGAUGGGGUCAGCGCAAGCGAAGCUCCUGAUCGAAGCCCCGGUAAACGGCGGCCGUAACUAUAACGGUCCUAAGGUAGCGAAAUUCCUUGUCGGGUAAGUUCCGACCUGCACGAAUGGCGUAAUGAUGGCCAGGCUGUCUCCACCCGAGACUCAGUGAAAUUGAACUCGCUGUGAAGAUGCAGUGUACCCGCGGCAAGACGGAAAGACCCCGUGAACCUUUACUAUAGCUUGACACUGAACAUUGAGCCUUGAUGUGUAGGAUAGGUGGGAGGCUUUGAAGUGUGGACGCCAGUCUGCAUGGAGCCGACCUUGAAAUACCACCCUUUAAUGUUUGAUGUUCUAACGUGGACCCGUAAUCCGGGUUGCGGACAGUGUCUGGUGGGUAGUUUGACUGGGGCGGUCUCCUCCUAAAGAGUAACGGAGGAGCACGAAGGUUGGCUAAUCCUGGUCGGACAUCAGGAGGUUAGUGCAAUGGCAUAAGCCAGCUUGACUGCGAGCGUGACGGCGCGAGCAGGUGCGAAAGCAGGUCAUAGUGAUCCGGUGGUUCUGAAUGGAAGGGCCAUCGCUCAACGGAUAAAAGGUACUCCGGGGAUAACAGGCUGAUACCGCCCAAGAGUUCAUAUCGACGGCGGUGUUUGGCACCUCGAUGUCGGCUCAUCACAUCCUGGGGCUGAAGUAGGUCCCAAGGGUAUGGCUGUUCGCCAUUUAAAGUGGUACGCGAGCUGGGUUUAGAACGUCGUGAGACAGUUCGGUCCCUAUCUGCCGUGGGCGCUGGAGAACUGAGGGGGGCUGCUCCUAGUACGAGAGGACCGGAGUGGACGCAUCACUGGUGUUCGGGUUGUCAUGCCAAUGGCACUGCCCGGUAGCUAAAUGCGGAAGAGAUAAGUGCUGAAAGCAUCUAAGCACGAAACUUGCCCCGAGAUGAGUUCUCCCUGAGACUUAGAGUCUCCUGAAGGAACGUUGAAGACGACGACGUUGAUAGGCCGGGUGUGUAAGCGCAGCGAUGCGUUGAGCUAACCGGUACUAAUGAACCGUGAGGCUUAACCUUACAACGCCGAAG